UCCCUGGUGGCUCAGAGGGUAAAGCGUCUGCCUGCCAUGCAGGAGACCCAGGUUCGAUCCCUGGGUUGGGAA
rnacentral:tRNA from 1 species